UGAGGAAUAUUGGUCAAUGGGCGGAAGCCUGAACCAGCCAUCCCGCGUGCAGGAAGACAGCCCUAUGGGUUGUAAACUGCUUUUCCAGUGGGCGAAACACUCGUACGUGUACGAGAUUGACGGUACACUGGGAAUAAGCAUCGGCUAACUCCGUGCCAGCAGCCGCGGUAAUACGGAGGAUGCAAGCGUUAUCCGGAUUUAUUGGGUAUAAAGGGUGCGUAGGCGGAUGAAUAAGUCAGUGGUGAAAGGCUGCAGCUUAACUGUAGACUUGCCGUUGAUACUGUUUAUCUUGAGUAUGGUCAAGGCAGGCGGAAUGUGUGAUGUAGCGGUGAAAUGCUUAGAUAUUACAAAGAACACCGAUUGCGAAGGCAGCUUGCUGGGCCAUUACUGACGCUGAUGCACGAAAGCGUGGGGAGCGAACAG
rnacentral:rRNA from 1 species